ACGGAGGGCGCAAGCGUUAAUCGGAAUUACUGGGCGUAAAGCGCACGUAGGCGGCCAUUUAAGCCAGAUGUGAAAGCCCUGGGCUCAACCUGGGAACUGCAUCUGAUACUGGAAGACUAGAAUGAGGGAGAGGAGAGUGGAAUUUCCGGUGUAGCGGUGAAAUGCGUAGAGAUUAGGAGGAACACCAGUGGCGAAGGCGGCUUUCUGGACUGUAACUGACGCUGAGGCACGAAAGCGUGGGGAGCAAACAG
rnacentral:rRNA from 1 species